GAUGAAGAACGCAGCGAAAUGCGAUACGUAAUGUGAAUUGCAAAUUCAGGGAAUCAUCGAGUCUUUGAACGCACAUUGCGCCCCCUGGUAUUCCGGGGGGCAUGCCUGUCCGAGCGUCAUUGCUGCCCUCAAGCACGGCUUGUGUGUUGGGCCCCGUCCUCCGAUCCCGGGGGACGGGCCCGAAAGGCAGCGGCGGCACCGCGUCCGGUCCUCGAGCGUAUGGGGCUUUGUCACCCGCUCUGUAGGCCCGGCCGGCGCUUGCCGAUCAACCCAAAUUUUUAUCCAGGUUGACCUCGGAUCAGGUAGGGAUACCCGCUGAACUUAAGCAUAUCAAUAAGCGGAGGA
rnacentral:misc_RNA from 1 species